UUCUAUAUUGGACAAUUCACACUUUGUUGGUUAACCCACGAGAAAACUGAUAGUAUUUAAAGCUUCCAUUACCGCAGCCAUCUAUCUAGGGCCAUGGCAACACCACCAACGUCCCCGCCACAAUCA